rnacentral:rRNA from 1 species
AGUGAACGCUGGCGGUAGGCCUAACACAUGCAAGUCGAACGGCAGCACAGUAAGAGCUUGCUCUUACGGGUGGCGAGUGGCGGACGGGUGAGGAAUACAUCGGAAUCUACUUUUUCGUGGGGGAUAACGUAGGGAAACUUACGCUAAUACCGCAUACGACCUACGGGUGAAAGCAGGGGAUCUUCGGACCUUUCGCGAUUGAAUGAGCCGAUGUCGGAUUAGCUAGUUGGCGGGGUAAAGGCCCACCAAGGCGACGAUCCGUAGCUGGUCUGAGAGGAUGAUCAGCCACACUGUAACUGAGACACGGUCCAGACUCCUACGGGAGGCAGCAGUGGGGAAUAUUGGACAAUGGGCGCAAGCCUGAUCCAGCCAUACCGCGUGGGUGAAGAAGGCCUUCGGGUUGUAAAGCCCUUUUGUUGGGAAAGAAAAGCAGCAGGUUAAUACCCCGCUGUUCUGACGGUACCCAAAGAAUAAGCACCGGCUAACUUCGUG